CGAUUGACGCUGGCGGCAGGCCUAACACAUGCAAGUCGAACGGUAACAGGAAACAGCUUGCUGUUUCGCUGACGAGUGGCGGACGGGUGAGUAAUGUCUGGGAAACUGCCUGAUGGAGGGGGAUAACUACUGGAAACGGUAGCUAAUACCGCAUAACGUCGCAAGACCAAAGAGGGGGACCUUCGGGCCUCUUGCCAUCGGAUGUGCCCAGAUGGGAUUAGCUUGUUGGUGGGGUAACGGCUCACCAAGGCGACGAUCCCUAGCUGGUCUGAGAGGAUGACCAGCCACACUGGAACUGAGACACGGUCCAGACUCCUACGGGAGGCAGCAGUGGGGAAUAUUGCACAAUGGGCGCAAGCCUGAUGCAGCCAUGCCGCGUGUAUGAAGAAGGCCUUCGGGUUGUAAAGUACUUUCAGCGGGGAGGAAGGGAGUAAAGUUAAUACCUUUGCUCAUUGACGUUACCCGCAGAAGAAGCACCGGCUAACUCCGUGCCAGCAGCCGCGGUAAUACGGAGGGUGCAAGCGUUAAUCGGAAUUACUGGGCGUAAAGCGCACGCAGGCGGUUUGUUAAGUCAGAUGUGAAAUCCCCGGGCUCAACCUGGGAACUGCAUCUGAUACUGGCAAGCUUGAGUCUCGUAGAGGGGGGUAGAAUUCCAGGUGUAGCGGUGAAAUGCGUAGAGAUCUGGAGGAAUACCGGUGGCGAAGGCGGCCCCCUGGACGAAGACUGACGCUCAGGUGCGAAAGCGUGGGGAGCAAACAGGAUUAGAUACCCUGGUAGUCCACGCCGUAAACGAUGUCGACUUGGAGGUUGUGCCCUUGAGGCGUGGCUUCCGGAGCUAACGCGUUAAGUCGACCGCCUGGGGAGUACGGCCGCAAGGUUAAAACUCAAAUGAAUUGACGGGGGCCCGCACAAGCGGUGGAGCAUGUGGUUUAAUUCGAUGCAACGCGAAGAACCUUACCUGGUCUUGACAUCCACGGAAGUUUUCAGAGAUGAGAAUGUGCCUUCGGGAACCGUGAGACAGGUGCUGCAUGGCUGUCGUCAGCUCGUGUUGUGAAAUGUUGGGUUAAGUCCCGCAACGAGCGCAACCCUUAUCCUUUGUUGCCAGCGGUCCGGCCGGGAACUCAAAGGAGACUGCCAGUGAUAAACUGGAGGAAGGUGGGGAUGACGUCAAGUCAUCAUGGCCCUUACGACCAGGGCUACACACGUGCUACAAUGGCGCAUACAAAGAGAAGCGACCUCGCGAGAGCAAGCGGACCUCAUAAAGUGCGUCGUAGUCCGGAUUGGAGUCUGCAACUCGACUCCAUGAAGUCGGAAUCGCUAGUAAUCGUGGAUCAGAAUGCCACGGUGAAUACGUUCCCGGGCCUUGUACACACCGCCCGUCACACCAUGGGAGUGGGUUGCAAAAGAAGUAGGUAGCUUAACCUUCGGGAGGGCGCCUUACCACUUUGUGAUCAUGAC
rnacentral:rRNA from 1 species